rnacentral:rRNA from 1 species
AUUGAACGCUGGCGGCAUGCUUUACACAUGCAAGUCGAACGGUAACAGGUUAAGCUGACGAGUGGCGAACGGGUGAGUAAUGCAUCGGAACGUGCCCGGUCGUGGGGGAUAACGCAGCGAAAGCUGCGCUAAUACCGCAUACGAUCUGAGGAUGAAAGCGGGGGACCGUAAGGCCUCGCGCGAUCGGAGCGGCCGAUGUCAGAUUAGGUAGUUGGUGGGGGAAAGGCUCACCAAGCCAACGGUCUGUAGCUGGUCUGAGAGGACGACCAGCCACACUGGGACUGAGACACGGCCCAGACUCCUACGGGAGGCAGCAGUGGGGAAUUUUGGACAAUGGGCGAAAGCCUGAUCCAGCAAUGCCGCGUGCAGGAAGAAGGCCUUCGGGUUGUAAACUGCUUUUGUACGGAGCGAAAAGGUCUCCUCUAAUACAGGGGGCUCAUGACGGUACCGUAAGAAUAAGCACCGGCUAACUACGUGCCAGCAGCCGCGGUAA